AGUGAACGCUGGCGGUAGGCCUAACACAUGCAAGUCGAACGGCAGCACAGGAGAGCUUGCCCUCUGGGUGGCGAGUGGCGGACGGGUGAGGAAUACAUCGGAAUCUACUCUGUCGUGGGGGAUAACGUAGGGAAACUUACGCUAAUACCGCAUACGACCUACGGGUGAAAGCAGGGGACCUUCGGGCCUUGCGCGAUUGAAUGAGCCGAUGUCGGAUUAGCAAGUUGGCGGGGUAAAGGCCCACCAAGGCGACGAUCCGUAGCUGGUCUGAGAGGAUGAUCAGCCACACUGGAACUGAGACACGGUCCAGACUCCUACGGGAGGCAGCAGUGGGGAAUAUUGGACAAUGGGCGCAAGCCUGAUCCAGCCAUACCGCGUGGGUGAAGAAGGCCUUCGGGUUGUAAAGCCCUUUUGUUGGGAAAGAAACCCAGCUGGCUAAUACCCGGUUGGGAUGACGGUACCCAAAGAAUAAGCACCGGCUAACUUCGUGCCAGCCGCCGCGGUAA
rnacentral:rRNA from 1 species